UACGUAGGGUCCGAGCGUUGUCCGGAAUUAUUGGGCGUAAAGGGCUCGUAGGCGGUUUGUCACGUCGGGCGUGAAAACUCAGGGCUCAACCCUGAGCGUGCGUUCGAUACGGGCAGACUAGAGGUAUGCAGGGGAGAACGGAAUUCCUGGUGUAGCGGUGGAAUGCGCAGAUAUCAGGAGGAACACCGGUGGCGAAGGCGGUUCUCUGGGCAUUACCUGACGCUGAGGAGCGAAAGCA
rnacentral:rRNA from 1 species